GUGUCAGCCGCCGCGGUAAAACCAGCACCUCAAGUGGUCAGGAGGAUUAUUGGGCCUAAAGCAUCCGUAGCCUGCUCUGUAAGUUUUCGGUUAAAUCCAUCAGCUCAACUGAUGGGCCGCCGAAAAAACUGCAAAGCUAGGGAGUGGGAGAGGUAGACGGUACUCGAUAGGAAGGGGGUAAAAUCCUUUGAUCUAUUGAUGACCCCCUGUGGCGAAGGCGGUCUACCAGAACACGUUCGACGGUGAGGGAUGAAAGCUGGGGGAGCAAACCGGAUUAGAUACCCGGGUAGUCCCAGCUGUAAACGAUGCAGACUCGGUGAUGCCCUGGCUUGUGGCCAGUGCAGUGCCGCAGGGAAGCCGUUAAGUUUGCCGCCUGGGAAGUACGUACGCAAGUAUGAAACUUAAAGGAAUUGGCGGGGGAGCACCACAAGGGGUGAAGCCUGCGGUUCAAUUGGAGUCAACGCCAGAAAUCUUACCCGAAGAGACAGCAGAAUGAAGGUCAAGCUGGAGACUUUACCAGACAAGCUGAGAAGUGGUGCAUGGCCGUCGCCAGCUCGUGCCGUGAGAUGUCCUGUUAAGUCAGGUAACGAGCGAGAUCCCUGCCUCUAGUUGCCACCAUUACUCUCAGGAGUAGUGGGGCGAAUUAGAGGGACCGCCACAGUUAAUGUGGAGGAAGGAAGGGGCCACGGCAGGUCAGUAUGCCCUGAAACUUUGGGGCCACACGCGGGCUGCAAUGGUAGUGACAAUGAGUUUCCUAAUCCGAAAGGAGGAGGCAAUCUUCAAACGCUACCACAGUUAUGAUUGAGGGCUGCAACUCGCCCUCAUGAAUAUGGAAUCCCUAGUAACCGCGUGUCAUUACCGCGCAGUGAAUACGUCCCUGCUCCUUGCACACACCGCCCGUC
rnacentral:rRNA from 1 species